rnacentral:tRNA from 1 species
GCCCGGGUGGUGGAAUAGGUAGACACAAGGGACUUAAAAUCCCUCGGUUGAAUAAACCGUGCCGGUUCGAGUCCGGCCCUGGGCA